GGUUUUAACCCAGUUAACUAAGGUUAGCAUUAAUUUCGACCUUUCGAAAGAUUGUGUUGAAUAACAAUAAUUUUUGGAAUUUUUGGAAAUAUUUUCAGGGUGACAGUGGAGGCAAU
rnacentral:sRNA from 15 species